CUACAGGGGUUUCUAAUCCUGUUUGCUCCCCACGCUUUCGUACAUGAGCGUCAGUGUUGACCCAGGUGGCUGCCUUCGCCAUCGGUAUUCCUUCAGAUCUCUACGCAUUUCACCGCUACACCUGAAAUUCUACCACCCUCUAUCACACUCUAGUUUGCCAGUUCGAAAUGCAGUUCCCAGGUUGAGCCCGGGGCUUUCACAUCUCGCUUAACAAACCGCCUGCGUACGCUUUACGCCCAGUAAUUCCGAUUAACGCUCGCACCCUCCGUAUUACCGCGGCUGCUGGCAC
rnacentral:rRNA from 1 species